rnacentral:rRNA from 1 species
AACGAACGCUGGCGGUGCGUUUUAAGCAUGCAAGUCGAACGGCAGGAAGGUGCUUGCACUUUCCUAGAGUGGCGGACUGGUGAGUAACGCGUAGGUGAUCUACCUUUAAGACUGGGACAGCCUUAUAGAAAUAAGGGGUAAUACCGGAUGUGCUUAUUAUGUUUUGACGUAGUAAGGGAAGGAGCGUUUGCUCCGCUUAGAGAUGAGCCUGCGUCCCAUUAGCUAGUUGGUAAGGUAACGGCCUACCAAGGCGAUGAUGGGUAUCCGACCUGAGAGGGUGAUCGGACACAUUGGGACUGAGAUACGGCCCAAACUCCUACGGGAGGCAGCAGCUGAGAAUCUUCCGCAAUGGACGAAAGUCUGACGGAGCGACACCGCGUGAAUGAUGAAGGCCGAAAGGUUGUAAAGUUCUUUUGCAGACAAAGAAUAAGGAUAGAAGGAAAUGUCAAUUUGAUGACGGUAGUUAUGCGAAUAAGCCCCGGCUAAUUACGUGCCAGCAGCCGCGGUAAUACGUAAGGGGCGAGCGUUGUUCGGAAUUAUUGGGCGUAAAGGGCAUGUAGGCGGUUGGGUAAGCCUGAUGUGAAAUCUACGAGCUUAACUCGUAAACUGCAUUGGGUACUGCUCAUCUUGAAUCAUAGAGGGGGAACUGGAAUUCCAAGUGUAGGGGUGGAAUCUGUAGAUAUUUGGAAGAACACCGGUGGCGAAGGCGGGUUCCUAGCUAAUGAUUGACGCUGAUGUGCGAAGGUGCGGGGAGCAAACAGGAUUAGAUACCCUGGUAGUCCGCACAGUAAACGAUGUACACUAGGUGUUGGGGUAAAACUCAGUGCCGGCGCAAACGCAAUAAGUGUACCGCCUGGGGAGUAUGCCCGCAAGGGUGAAACUCAAAGGAAUUGACGGGGGCCCACACAAGCGGUGGAGCAUGUGGUUUAAUUCGAUGAUACGCGAGGAACCUUACCUGGGUUUGACAUCAAG